GAGUUCCCGUAGCAGCAUCGAGGUGUUCCUGAGAUAAAGAAGGCUGUUGAGAAGAAUCGGACCGUGUUGCGUUUUUCUUGCUGGACGAGGGUUGAGGAGCAAAGCAGAGUCCCUUGACAUACACACCAAGGUACAGGACUGGCUCCUGGGUGACAGAACCAGGUCUGCAACUAGGGGAAGGCACCUGGGAGGAAACAAGGACCUGGAAGAUUUGCCAUCCUGUUAUCCCCAUGGUGACUCCUGGGCUCCAGACAGGAUCUUGCUAUAUAGUGCAGCUGUGUACAUCAGACCUGCCUCUUGUCUUCCAUGUGCUGGGAUCAAAGGUGGGCGCAACAUCUGGUGGCCUGUACAGGGCCCAAGGACAACGACCUUGUGGAUUCAGAACUCUUCAGCUGAGGAACGGUGGUACCGGAACAAGAAAAUCCAAUCUGGGUACCAGAGCGAUUGACAUGAAAGCUGCCUACAACUUCUAUCCCGUCCUCCCCCACCCCCCCACCGAAGAUGAAACUAUGGAUCCUGUGGCUGGGAAUGCUCCCGCUAGUGAGAAAUGAAGAGCUACGUUGGGGAAUUAUGUCUGUGUUCCUGAAACCCAUGCCAUUGACGCAUUCAAGUGUUUCCUCAAUUCUUUACAUCUAAUGCUUCACUACAAUUGCCUUUUUUCUAUGCUGCUUCAGCUAAAGGGAUUGUUGUGUUUUCAGAUGAUUCAAAAUAUUUCACAGAUGAAUGAUUGUGUUCAGCUGUAUCUACUAAAGCUAAUGCUACCUGGAUUUGAGGGGUGUGGCCUGCCAGUAUAUCCAAGGGCAAUGGCACUAUACCCUCCCAACCUAGAUGGGCCCCCCUUCCUUUUUGUAGGAGUAUUCCUGAUUCCCUUCCACCUUGGGCAGUGCUCCUUAUAUGUAUGGUUGUCAUGUGGGGUGAAUGGUAGUUGCACUGAUCCCUUGCCUCAGGGCUGAUGGGAGCCAUGGGAUGUAUGCUUGUAAUAGUGUGUGUGUUGUGUGUUUGGUGUAUGUGUUGGAUGCAGUGUGUGCAGACCGGAACUUCCACCAUGGUGGCGCAGGCCUUUGCCAGAGUAGAGGUGGGACAAUCUCAGAUUUGGCUUGCCGCUCUAAAGAAAUAAUGCUGUGUUAUGCCAUGGGUUGCAAGGCUAAGCACUGCACAGAGGAUAGCUUGCUGUUGGCAUCCUGUGGAAGGCACGUCUGAUUGCAUGAAGGUUCAGUGUCCUAGUUCCCUUCCCCCAGGAAAAACGACAUGGGAGCUGGCCAAGACCUCUCUGGGUGAUGAACCCAAAGGAUGGUUUUGUGUAGGGCCCCUAUGCUUGCACACUGGGGAUCAGACCUCUACCUUCACCCAUGAGGCUUGUGUAGCAAUCAAAAUUGGGCCAGAGAUUAAUCAGUGUCCUGGCCUUCUGGUGCAUCUGCUGCAUGCAGACAGGACAAUCUCCUCAUGUGUGGCUUGGCAUGCUAGAAAAGUAGUCAGUGGCAGAUAAGACUUCCCUGGGCAUGUCACCAACCUAAGACAGCGAUCAAAUCAAUGCUGCUUGUCUCUCAAGGACGGGUAAGGGGCAUUGCUGCAGGGGGCAAUCUAAGACAGACAUUCUCUCUGCCAAAAAAAGGGGGGAGAUGUGAGGAGUGGGUGUGGACGCAGUUCCAAGAUGGCGCUCGGGACUGCAGCUAAGUCUUAUGACUUGCACCUGACUUCCUCAUACACCUGAAAAUAAACCAUGACCAUCGUGAGAGCUGUGCAGGUGUACCACGAUGCUGGCAAUGUAAUCAAGUCCAUAUUUGGUGGAGACAUGCCUCUGCCGCCCUGAUUGGCUGAAGCUGCGUGCCUGGUGAGGUGGCAUGGCCUGCUGUGAGUGGUUGGGGGCUGAGAGUAUAUAAGCAGACCUCCCUGGGUUCCCAGGGUCCCCGUAGCAGCAUUGAGGCAUUCCUGCAAUAGAGGCUGUUGAGAAGAAUCCGACCGUGUUGUGUCUUCCUUGCCAGCCUAGGUGGGCACAACAAAAGACGAUUUAUUAAGCAAGUGGCAAUAGAUAUCACCUAUAAACCUAUACACAACAGCUAAAGACAUGGCUUAGUGGGUAAAGGUGCUUGUUAAGCGAAACUGAAAAUCUGAGUUCUAUCCCUCUAUUCCACAUAGAAGGCACUGGAUUAUGUACACACACACACACACAUGUUCCAAUAAAGAUUAAUAAAAAGAAAAAAUAUAAAUAUGUCAUGGCAACAUUAUUAGUAUCUUAGGAUUUAUAUUGUUGUGGUAAAACACCAUGACCAAAAGCAACUGUGGAGGAGAGGGUUUAGUUCAGCUUACAACUCUCAGGUCACUGAGUGAAAUCAGAACAGGAACCCAAGGCAGGAACUAGAGCAGAGGCCAUGAAGGAAAUUAGUUAGGGUUACUCAAAGGAGUAGGGUGGAAGUUUGUGGCCAGUGUCUGCACCACUGAACAAAACAUCUCUCCCCCCCCCGCCCCCAAGCAUUAAAUGCACAUGGAGGGCUGGGUCCCCGUGAGCUCCUCCCCCUUCACGACAGGGUGAUGAUGGUGUUGACCAGUGUGCUCUCUCUGUACUUUCCACUCAAGAUUGCAACAGCCUCGUCAGGUAGGGAAGCCCCUCCCAGACUUCCUCUGGCUCUUACACUCAUCCUUCUCUCCUUUCAGGAUGCUUUCUGAACCUUGGGAAGGUGAUAUGUAUGUCCCACCUGAGACUGGGCCUUCAACAGUCAUGUAUUCUUAUUCUCCCACCCCCCUCCCUAGACAAUGUUUCCCGAAGUAGCCCUCGACAUCCUGGAUCUCUCCUGAGUAAAUGGGAUUAAAGGUGUGUGCAUGUACCACU
rnacentral:lncRNA from 1 species